GUGUCCACUAGCUUCUGGAACAUGGCAGAGAAGAAAUGGGCCAGUUUAUUUACGAGAUUUGAUUGGGAGGAUGGUUGCCAACUACACCCUUUCUCCUAUCAGAAGGAUAAGAAACAGGUGUUUCGAAAGUGCCCAUGGCCAUAAGGGAGAAAGAGCACCAGACCAUCUGAAUAACGUGAAAGUGGACACAGGAAACACCAGACACCCAGAGAAAUGGAGUCCAAAUGAUGAUUUGCAAAAGUUUUCCUUCCAUACCUCUACACCACAGAUGGAUUGAGAAAUGUCACAACAAAUUAGAAGUGAAGAGUUAAGUCAUGGCAAGUGACUCCUCAACUCAAGGCUCCUUCAACAUUCUGGAACUGUUUAAUGUCAAUCUUGACUUUGUCUCCAGGGCCCUUUUCUUUUCUUUUUUCUUUUUCUUUCUUUCUUUCUUUCUUUCUUUUUUUUUUUUUUUUUUUUUGAGACAGUUUUCACUCUCGUUGCCCAGGUUGGAGUGCAAUGGCAUGUUAUCAACUCACUGCAACCUCUGCCUCCUGGGUUCAAGCAGUCCUCUGGCCUCAGUCUCCUGAGUAGCUGGAAUUACAAGCGUGUGCCACCAUGCCCGGCUAAUUUUUGUGUUUUUAGUAGAGACGGGGUUUCACCACAUUGGCUAGGCUGUUCUUGAACUCCUGACCUCAGCUGAUCCACCCGCCUUGGCCUCCCAAAGUGUUGGGAUUACAGGCGUGAGCCAAUGCGCCCGGCCCCAGGGCCCUUUUCUUAAAACCAAAUCCCAUGCAAUAAAGCACGUUUAUUUCAUGCAACACAGCUUAGUUAAUGCUUAUACUUCCAAAUACUCCGGUUUACUAGGUACAACUCAAUCAGGAGUGCCUAGUAUAAAAGAACAUGCACAGCACAGCGACAGAGAAUGUUCAUCACCAAACACAAGGAAGCAAAGGAGAUGCAAAGCUAUGGUAGCUAGAGGAGGAUUAGCUUUCCUGAUUUCAGUUUGAGAAAAGCCACUUGUCUCUACAGUCCACUAGUUUGGCAAGGCAUUUGCCCUUGGCUGUGAGAUGAUGUUACAUUCAAAGUAAGGUAUAUUAAUUUCCAGGCUUGUCCAGGAUCAGGGGCUGGAGUCUUCCUUCAAUAGUAAUCCUUUCCUUAAAACCAGUUCUAAGCUUUGUAUUUGUUUUAUUAAGUGAUUGGAUAGCCCUGAAAUAUGAGUUUCCUCCAAUCUCUUCCACUUUGCAAACUCCAGAACCGUUUGACCAAUAAGUUAAAACCCAGAGGAGGACUGACUGUGAGCUAAGGCUUCAGACAUGCAAAGCGCACAACCCUGGGAAACAGCAGCAUCUGGGACAGGAGGCUCCCAUUACUACACAUGAGGGUGUCAUAGGUUUUGCAAAUCAAACACACAUAGAAAACCAGUAGUAGCCUGGGUUGGACACACUGUAUGAGUUGCACAGUUGAGUGAGGACCCAGACCAGGGAGCCACAUGUUCCUCUAGCUUGCAUACAUUUAUUUCACACCACCUCAGGCCACUCAUAGUUUGCUUACCUGCUCAUUGUUGCUCUCCCACCAUUCCCCAUACUCCCUUUGGGGGUGAAACACUCUAUUUCCGACUUGUGCUGGGCCAGUCUCCUGUCUUUGUACCUGGUGAGCAUGAACAAGGACAGGAGCAAACAGAAAGACGUGAUUGUGUGCUUAACUGCCAGGCUGAGGAACGGCCGUGACUGUGGAGAUGGUCACUCUGUGCCAAAAUGGGGGUUCCUGCUUCUCAAUGCAAUGACCAACCUGUGAUACUUAUUAGAUGAAUGUGAUGGCAUAUGGACAACAUCAG
rnacentral:lncRNA from 10 species